GGAUCCAGACUUUGAUUAUGGCUCAGGAUGAACGCUAGCUACAGGCUUAACACAUGCAAGUCGAGGGCCAGCGGUAUCGAAAGCUUGCUUUCGGUAGCCGGCGACCGGCGCACGGGUGAGUAACGCGUAUCGAACCUGCCUCAUACUCGGGAAUAGCCUUGCGAAAGUAAGAUUAAUGCCCGGUGUUUUCAGAGUCCCGCAUGAGGCUUUGAACAAAGAUUUAUCGGUAUGAGAUGGCGAUGCGUCCCAUUAGCUUGUUGGCGGGGUAACGGCCCACCAAGGCAUCGAUGGGUAGGGGUUCUGAGAGGAAGGUCCCCCACAUUGGAACUGAGACACGGUCCAAACUCCUACGGGAGGCAGCAGUGAGGAAUAUUGGUCAAUGGGCGGAAGCCUGAACCAGCCAAGUAGCGUGCAGGAAGACGGCCCUCCGGGUUGUAAACUGCUUUUAGUUGGGAAUAAAACGGGGCUCGUGAGCCCCCUUGCAUGUACCAUCAGAAAAAGGACCGGCUAAUUCCGUGCCAGCAGCCGCGGUAAUACGGAAGGUUCGGGCGUUAUCCGGAUUUAUUGGGUUUAAAGGGAGCGCAGGCGGACCUUUAAGUCAGCUGUGAAAUACGGCGGCUCAACCGUCGAACUGCAGUUGAUACUGGAGGUCUUGAGUGCACACAGGGAUGCUGGAAUUCAUGGUGUAGCGGUGAAAUGCUCAGAUAUCAUGAAGAACUCCGAUCGCGAAGGCAGGCAUCCGGGGUGCAACUGACGCUGAGGCUCGAAAGUGCGGGUAUCAAACAGGAUUAGAUACCCUGGUAGUCCGCACAGUAAACGAUGAAUACUCGCGGUUUGCGAUACAUUGUAAGCCGCUAAGCGAAAGCGUUAAGUAUUCCACCUGGGGAGUACGCCGGCAACGGUGCAACUCAAAUGAAUUGACGG
rnacentral:rRNA from 2 species